AACUGAUACUACCUGCGGGAACCUGCGGAGGGAUCAUUACUGAGUGAGGGCCCUCUGGGUCCAACCUCCCACCCGUGUUUAACGAACCUUGUUGCUUCGGCGGGCCCGCCUCACGGCCGCCGGGGGGCAUCCGCCCCCGGGCCCGCGCCCGCCGAAGCCACCUGUGAACGCUGUCUGAAGUUGCAGUCUGAGAAAAUUAUUAAAUUAAUUAAAACUUUCAACAAUGGAUCUCUAGAUCGG
rnacentral:misc_RNA from 1 species